rnacentral:rRNA from 1 species
AUGGCGUUUCUGGGAGGAUCAUUGCGUGUGACGAGAAGCAUUGGCAGCCGGAAUAUGACGGAAGGGAAGAGCCACGGCUGGUCGGGGUCGUGGCGGCAGGCGCCAGCUCCCGUGAGGCAGCUCUACUGGAGGGUGAGGCGGGCCAUGCUGCGGCCGAAGCGCCACACCGUGAGUUUCGGGUAUGACAUCAAGAGCUACUCCCAGAACUUCGACGAUGGACUCGUCCAUGCCCACUGCCUCUAG